AGCGGUAGAGUAACGCCAUGGUAAGGCGUAAGUCAUCGGUUCAAGUCCGAUAAAGGGCU
rnacentral:tRNA from 1 species